AAUAUUGGACAAUGGGCGAAGGCCUGAUCCAGCCAUGCCGCGUGUGUGAAGAAGGUCNNNGGAUUNUAACGCACUUUAUGUUGNGAGNAUGGGCUUUAGGUUAAUACUCUGAAGUUUUGACGUUACCAACAGAACAAGCACCGGCUAACUUCGUGCCAGCAGCCUCGGUAAUACGAAGGGUGCAAGCGUUAAUCGGAAUUACUGGGCGUAAAGCGCGCGUAGGUGGUUCGUUAAGUUGGAAGUGAAAGCCCCGGGCUUAACCUGGGAAUUGCUUUCAAAACUGACGAGCUAGAGUACGGUAGAGGGUAGUGGAAUUUCCUGUGUAGCGGUGAAAUGCAUAGAUAUAGGAAGGAACAUCAGUGGCGAAGGCGACUACCUGGACUGAUACUGACACUGAGGUGCGAAAGCGUGGGGAGCAAACAGG
rnacentral:rRNA from 1 species